UUGGAUUGGAACUGGGGCACGCCUCU
rnacentral:piRNA from 1 species